GGCUUCGUGGUCGAGUGGUAAAAACACUUGCCUCUCAUGCAAUCCCGGGUUCAAUCCCCAGUCGAGGAGCUG